UCCACACCUGAGGACAAGGGGAAGAAGAGAAAUCAGCAUCAACCCAAGGCAUGUUGUAUACGUAACGGGAAGGCGGAAUCCCAUCCACCCCACACCUGUUCCCCAAACCAGCGUGGGCAGCAUCACCCAUGUGCAAGAUGAUCUGCUGGCCACUCCCUUGUAUCCCAGAGCAUGCGGGAAAAUGCAUCCAGCCCUUGGCAGUAGGGAACCAGGCUGGGCUACUGAGGAACAUCCCCAAUUCAGAGAUGCACCCAGAAGAAAGCGGCUAAGGAGGAGUCAGGUAGCUCUCACAGCCAGGGCGCAGUGCGGGCAGAGCCAGCACCUCCUCCAGGCUGGGGCUGGGGAGUUCCUAGGCCAUAACUUUCCCUUGUGAGAGAAUUGAUAGGCUCCCUCUUUCCCGCCCCAUUCCACAUCUCCUCUGGCGAAUGACUGGCCCUGCAGCAGGCAGGAGGAGGAGAGUCAGGCUGGAGUGGCUAAUGGGAAAAUAAUGCAGCUGGGCUUUGUAGACUCCCUCUUGCUACCUGCCAGGGCCCCCACCCCCUUAACAAAACAGCAUGCUCAGCACCCCUGGGCCACCAGGAGCCCUGGUGAUGAGCACACAAUACCCACCACCACAGGACAGACCCUGGGCCCUGCCCAGCAGCCUUGCUCGGCCUGCCCUUCAGUGUGCAUACAGCCACAGCACGCUGGUGGCCAUUGUGGGAACCCCACCAAGGGGCACAGAGAAGAGGGAGAUGCUAAAGGCUGAGAAAUGUGCACAGCAAAACAAGUUCCUGGGAAUCCAGGGCAGGUGGGGGCCAGAUUCCUCCUCCCCCUCCCCAACCUACCUGCUUGCCUGGGCUUCACAGAGGUUUCUCCCUCGGCAGAGAUGCAGCUGGGGGAGUUUCUGCCAAGAUGGGACGUGUCUGGAUUUUGACCUUGUGAGGUUUUGCUGAUGUACAAGUACUCGCUGUGCUGAGCUCUCUGCAGGGGCAGUGAUCCCACGGACAUGCCUCAGUGGAACUGCCAUUAACACGCUUCACUACAUUCGCUUCAGCUACAAGAGCAGCUUUGUACACUCAAACAAAUGAAGUUGGGCAGCCAGACACUGUCCCUGGUGGCAGGGAGCCUGCCCAUGGUAUGUCAGUAUCCCAGCACCUGGAGCAUGGCCCUGGCCUGGGCAGGCAGCACCUGGAGCAUGUAUAAGUCUACCCUGUAUGCACCUCCCACCCCACCAGCCUCUCAUUCAACUUCUGCCUAAAGACUCACACCUGCUGCAUGGCUGACCGAGCGUGAUUAGCACUAGUUACCUUGUUACACGGGGACCCAGGCAGGCAUGUUGCACGUGUCUGACCAUCUUCAACAUUUCACCAAGUGGGGGGGGCAGGGUUCGUGUGUGGUCCUUAAAAGCGAACAACCAGCUGAUCAUGAUGGCUGCUGCAAGAGGUUUGUACACAUUUUAAGAGAUGUGUAAUGUGGACUAGUGCGUGACAUGGGUGGCUUGUGCGUCAAGCGGGGAUGCUCCCACUAGCCCAGAGCGGGGUUGGUACACCCCAGCACAGUGUGUUCCAGAACUGUUGGAAGUGACGCAUGUCAUGUGAGGGUGGGCAGGUCCCAGCUAGUGCACAAGAGUGAGACCCACCCCCAUCUCUCAGACCAGCCCAGCGUUUACAGUCUAGAACAGGGGCAGGCCUGAAGAAAAAAGACUGACAUGGGGACCCUCAGGCUUACCUGAAGUUUGUGAAAUGCCUGGAUUAUGAAGAGACAAGUCUUGGACUGUGUAAGAGGAGAGGAAAGGGCCCACGCUGUUCUCCAUUAGCAAGGCCCUCUGCCCAAUGCCAGUGUUUUACUGAAACAGGUCCCAGCUCUCUGGACUGGAGACGUGUGCAGAGGAUUAACCACAGGGUGAGAAAUACCUGGUUAGACAGGACCAGAACUUGGUCCUAAGUAAGGGGUCUAGACUGCACUUGAUAUUUAUCUGUAACCUUGGGUUUCCAGCCCUUUCACCAGCACCUACUUGGGCUCAGCUCAAGCUCAGUUAAACAUCUGUUUAGUUUUACUGUUGACAGGACAAAGCGACUUGUGCAAGAGAGUUUGGUGAACAGAGGCCAGGCUGGUGCCCUGGGGUGCACUGCAUUGCAGGUGUCCAGAAGACCUGGGGCUGGGCACUUGUGUUUAACCAGGGGUGUGCGCCAAUUUCUAGCCUGCAGAGGGAGAAGCAGGGGGCUUGCUGAACACAGAGCAGAGCACUUGUGCUGCCAGCAGGUUUGGGAGGCUUCCCCUGGUGGGCACAGACAAGGCUCUUGCAUUGUAAGCGAGUGGUAGCGAUUCAUGCUGGACACCUCAGGUAGCCCCGGAAGCGUCACAGUGGGGUAAUCAGCAGGAUCUGCACCCAGUUUAUUAGCUAAGCAAAGUUCAUGCUCAAGACACUUACAAGCUAAAUUAAAAUACACACACCAUCAGGGUCUAGAGUAAUAAGGCUGGAAACAAAGAAAAAAGGUCCCACUGUGUUUUUUGCCCUCUUUAAUUUGAGAGAGAGGAAUUGAACAUAAAGCCAUGCGAAAUGAGCAAGCAAGAAACAUUCCAAACCAGCCAGGCUGGAGUCUGGGCACUGCAGGGGAAGUGUCAAGGAAAUGAGGUUUAUGCUUCUGGAACAAGACAAGUUAUGGAGGGUGGCCAACUCCCUUGGGUAGGCAGGAGGAUGGGGAGAGCACAGAUUUCAGGGUGACACUCCAGCUAAGGGGAGCCAGCCCAGCCCAGUUCUCACUCAAGUGGCCAUAUGAUUAGGGAGAUGGCCUGACUGGAGUUUGAGACACUGGAAAAGGAACGUGAACACCUGAGGUGGAUGGAGGAGGGACAGGCAGUGGAGGAACCCACUCACUGGAGACUUUUGGAGCUGGAAGACCCAAAGUGCAAAGAGAGGGACAUGUGCUCAGAAUGCUGGAAUUACUAAAUAAAAGCCUCUCUCCCCUGCAUAAGCAUCCCCAGUGAGCCCCCAGCAGUGACCAGUUACACCUCAGCUUCGGGCAUUGAGCCUGCAUGAUGGAAUUCCUGACGAGCUUUGAGAGGACAUGCAGAGUGCACCAGCUUCCUGACACACAGGAAGAGAGCAUCUGCCGGAGGCUCCCAAUGGCCAGAUGGUCUGCUUGGUACCCUGCAAAACCGAGAGCCAGUCUCGCCCGUAACAGCUGGAAGUCUCCGCAGAUGCUGGGCCUGGAAAGAGGUAAAUGUACCGAGAAGUCGCUGCUCUGAAGCCAGUUCAGGGAGCGGGAUGUGGCCAGCUCCGGGGCCAGGCAGACUUUGCAGAAGUGACUUUCCAAACACACUGUGCUUCCCAGCCGGCUACAGCCCAGCACCAUGGACAGCUGCCAGGAAGCCCAUCUAGCAGCAGCGCUUUGAUUGAGGCUCAGUUCAGCCAGCUGCCUGGACAAUACAGUGUCCAAACGACACAGGCCUGCACAGCCAGCCCAGCUCCUCCCGCAGACAGAGGGGGUGAAGGACGUGCAAGGCCGGGCCAGACGUGCCAGUUGGAACGGCGUUCUAAGACCGUGCGGAUUGUUAGGUUACUAGACAUAGGACCAGGGUGUAAGGUCAUGUCAAAGCCCCCCGAACCCCUCCACACACACACCCCACCCUCAGCAAGGGGAACUUGCACAGCUGAUUGUCUUGGCCUCCUAGUCCCGCUGGAGCCAAACCCCGGCUUUGAGUUUGAUAACUGCCGGCAGUUCAUCCACACAGCACAGAACCAGCCACCCCCACAAAGGCUGCAGCCAUGAGCAGGCAGGCCUCCCAAUCAACUCCAUGGCCCUCCACUGCCCAGCAGCAGCUAUGACCCCACAGAAUCCAGCACUAGCCUGGCUAGUACUGGGUUGAGACCAGGCCGUAGGGCAGGGCUGCCAUUUUACAGCUCACUUGUCAGCCCUGUAGGCCCCUGGACUGCGACCUCAGUUCUGUCUGGUGGAAGCUGGAUUUAAGUUCCGGGAGCCCUACAUGAUCACCCUGCUCUUCCCCAUCAGAUGGGAAGAGACAAGGACAGGUGCUCUGAGGGCAUCGCUGAUGCUGCAGGCAAAGAGGCAGCCCCUGCUUUGUGCUGGGGAGGGGAGGGAAGAAAUUGCCAAUGCAAACAUGGGCAAAUUCUCUAGCAUCUCCACAUGGCAAAUUUACAGCCCCUCCUGCUAGCGGGGAUAUGACUGAGUAGUGAGAGUGUCCCUGCCCCUCACUCCAAAUAUUUCCUGCCAGAGCUCCCACUAGGCCUUUGGUCCCUGUGAUCCCUCUGCCCCGGUGUGUCUCUACAUGGCUGAUGGAGAGAUGGAUAAGCAGCAGACCCCUGCCCGCAGCCCUUGGUUGCCUCUACUGCUUUAACCUUGGUCUCCCAGCCCUGGCUCUCCUGUAUGGCUGGCUGGUUCUGGCUGCUCGGCGGCUCUGGGUGCAGGCGCUGUAGCUGUCAUGCUUCAGUAGCCAUGACUGUAGACUGUUACUGUUUCUUUAACGCUAUUUAGCAGUAAUCAGUCUAGAGCCAAGGUGCCGACGCGCUGACUUGGGAUCUUCUCACCCGUGUCUCCACAAGUGGCUCUUCACAGGCAUGGGCAUGGGGAUGGUAGUGGCAUGGAGCUAAGGGUGAUUUAUGCGGAUUAGAUCUCCUGGAUGGGUAGGGAUGACACAUGGGAGCCUUCUCUCGCUCUCCUACAGAGACUGAGUCAGGGAGCCUGUCAAAGGAUAUUUCUGUUGUGAAGCCAAUGGCAGGUCUGGGAGUUCCAGGGCUGGGCUGUAGGCACCAGCUCCUACAAAUGCUUAGGGUGCUGGCCAAUUAAGCCAUAACAGCGGCCACACUGGGUCAGACCAAUGGUCCAUGUAGUCCAGUGUCUGGUCUUCCAACAGUGGCCAGUGACAGAUGCUUCAGAGGGAAUGAACAGAACGGGGCAAUUUUGGGUGAUCUAUCCCGUCAUCUAAUCCUGACUUCUGGCAGUCAGAGAUUUAGGGACAGAGCAUGGGGUUGUAUCCCUGAUCAUCUCAGGGAUAGCCAUUAAUGGAUCUAUCCUCCAUCAACUGAUCCAAUUCUUUUUUGAACCAGUUUUGCUUUUGGCUGUCUCAACAUCCCAGCAACAAGUUCCACAGGUUGACUGUGUGGUGUCAAGAAUAAUAAGGAAGUACUUGUUUUAAACCUGGUGCCUAUUAAUUUAAUAGGGUGACCCCUAGUUUUUGUAUCACAUAAAGAGGUAAACAACACUUCAUUCACUUUUUCCACACCAGUCAUGAUUUUGUAGAUUUGUCAUAUCCCACCCACCCCUUUGAAAAAGAUGACCAAGAUGCACAGUCCUAGUCUUUGUAAUUUCUUCUCAUAUGGAAGAUGUUUCAUACCCCUAAUCACUUUUGUUGCCCAUCUGUCCUUUUUCCAAUUCUAAUAUUUUUUUUAUUAGACCAGAACUGGAGACAGUAUCAAGGUGUGAGCAUGUAAUGUAUUUAUAUAGAUAAUAAGACAGAAAAUAUUAAUGCAACUAACUCUUUCCUAAUGGUUCCUAACAUUCGGUUAGCUUUGACUGCAGCUGCACACUGAGUGGAUGUUUUCAGAUAACUAUUCAUGAUGCCAAGAUCUCUUUCUAACAGCUAAAUUAGACCCCAUCAUUUGGUUUGUA